rnacentral:rRNA from 1 species
UACGUAGGGUGCAAGCGUUGUCCGGAAUUAUUGGGCGUAAAGAGCUCGUAGGCGGUCUGUCGCGUCUGCUGUGAAAACUCAGGGCUUAACCCUGAGCUUGCAGUGGGUACGGGCAGACUAGAGUGCGGUAGGGGAGACUGGAAUUCCUGGUGUAGCGGUGGAAUGCGCAGAUAUCAGGGAGGAACACCGGUGGCGGAAGGCGGGUCUCUGGGCAGUAAC